rnacentral:rRNA from 1 species
CGGCAACAGCUCAAAUUUGAAAUCUGGCGCAAGCCCGAGUUGUAAUUUGUAGAGGAUGCUUCUGGGUAGCGGCCGGUCUAAGUUCCUUGGAACAGGACGUCAUAGAGGGUGAGAAUCCCGUAUGUGAUUGGCUUGCACCCUCCACGUAGCUCCUUCGACGAGUCGAGUUGUUUGGGAAUGCAGCUCUAAAUGGGAGGUAAAUUUCUUCUAAAGCUAAAUACCGGCCAGAGACCGAUAGCGCACAAGUAGAGUGAUCGAAAGAUGAAAAGCACUUUGGAAAGAGAGUUAAAAAGCACGUGAAAUUGUUGAAAGGGAAGCGCCCGCAACCAGACUUUGCGGCGGUGUUCCGCCGGUCUUCUGACCGGUUCAUUCGCCGCCGUGAGGCCAUCAUCGUCUGGGGCCGCUGGAUAAGACCUUAGGAAUGUAGCUUCCCUCGGGAAGUGUUAUAGCCUCUGGUGAUGCAGCGCGCCCCGGGCGAGGUCCGCGCUUCGGCAAGGAUGAUGGCGUAAUGGUUGUCGGCGGCCCGUCUUGAAACACGGACCAAGGAGUCUAACAUCUAUGCGAGUGUUCGGGUGUCAAACCCCUACGCGUAAUGAAAGUGAACGGAGGUGGGAACUUUUUGUGCACCAUCGACCGAUCCUGAUGUCCUCGGAUGGAUUUGAGUAAGAGCAUAGCUGUUGGGACCCGAAAGAUGGUGAACUAUGCCUGAAUAGGGUGAAGCCAGAGGAAACUCUGG